AGGCCAUGAUGAGAACAUUGCCUAAGCAGGUUCUUGUGUCUCUCCUAGGCUUCAUACAACGAUUCACCAUCAAAUUGUGUAAACAAAGUAAUAUUAUUUCUCAUCUU
rnacentral:snoRNA from 1 species